rfam:Otolemur garnettii contig059036, whole genome shotgun sequence.
GCCAGACGCAGUGGCAUGCCUGUAGUCGCAGCUACUUUGGAGGCUGAGACAGGAGGAUUGCUUGAGUCCAGGAGUUCUGGGCUGUAGUGUGCUAUGCUGAUUGGGUGUCCAGACUAAGUUCGGCAUCAAUGUGGUGACUUCCCAGGAGUUGGGGGGGCACCAGGUUGCCUAAGGAAGGGUGAACCAGCCCAGGUCAGAAACAGAGCAGGUCAAAACUUCUGUGCUGAUCAGUAAUGGGAUCAUGCCUGUGAAUAGCCAGUGCACGCCAGCCUGGGCAACAUAGCGAGACCCUCAUCUCU